rnacentral:lncRNA from 1 species
GCCGAGGAGAGGCUCUGCUCUCAGCUCGGCGAAUUGGAGGCUGAGGCCGUCAAUCAAGCGCGUGAUUAUCACGCUCGUAUCAUCUCCUUGAUGGAGCAGCUUCAGCAAGCUGAGGGUCUCCUCCUCCUCCACUCCUCCUCCUCGUCGUCUCUGGCCUCCUCAUAACAACUGGAGUUACUUAUCCUUGCUGUUGUAAUUAGAUUAGAGAUUAUCAUUUGCAAUUUUGUGAAUUAAUUAAAGCUCUCUUGUGUUCACCAAAUGCUCUGUUUACAGUUCUGUUACAUACUCUGUGCGAGAAAAAAACAAUGGGAUUUGAAUUUUAUAAUGGUAAAGUUUGCAUUAUUGCGAGCUAAAGAAUCGGUGAGUCUAACAAUAUGCGAUAGUUAGCUUAGAAUUAAUUCG